rnacentral:tRNA from 1 species
UCGGGGCGUAGCGCAGUUUGGUUAGCGCGUUGGACUGGGGGUCCAAAGGUCGCUGGUUCGAGUCCAGUCGCCCCGAU